UCGGGCUUCUUAGUUCCGCGUUGCUUUCCACCCACUCGGCUAACGGCGAAUCUAACCGACCUGAGCUGGAGUGGGGACCCUGGGAGAAGAAAUGCCCUGAGCGCUUCCUGGCGGAGGCGCAGAAACGGCUCGGUGGUGAGGCGCUUGGGUUUUGAGAAGCAUGAAACUGGGUUCCUUGAGCUCAGUUGCUCCCCGUAAGAUUGGAGUAACGCACUUUCCAGAGCAUUUUCUCGAAUUAGGAGUUAAUUCGAUCCAGUGAGCCUUCCUAGGCACACUGGAAGAGGGAAGCGCAAUGAGAUUAAGAAAUUUGCCCAAGGUCAGACAGCUAGAAAGUGCCGGAACUGGGAGUUGAAGUACAUUUGCGAGUGACCAGAAAUCAAAAUGGUUUGAAAAUUAUCAUCGUAAGCAGAGUUUUUUUUUUUUAACACAACUCGUCUCAGGACUUAAUGAAGCUCAG